rnacentral:rRNA from 1 species
CCCUUAGAUGUCCUGGGCCGCACGCGCGCUACACUGAUGCAUGCAACGAGUUUAUAACCUUGGCCUGAAAGGUCUGGGUAAUCUUUUGAACGUGCAUCGUGAUAGGGAUAGAUUAUUGCAAUUGUUAAUCUUGAACGAGGAAUUCCUAGUAAACGCGAGUCAUCAGCUCGCAUUGAUUACGUCCCUGCCCUUUGUACACACCGCCCGUCGCACCUACCGAUUGAAUGGUUCGGUGAAGAUCUCGGACUUCGAUAGUUAUUCUUUAUUGAGUUUAUAUUGUGGGAAGUUAUCUAAACCUCAUCAUUUAGAGGAAGGUGAAGUCGUAACA